UUUCACUUCACGAUUGUGUCCCAAUUGUUGUUGAUUCUUGACAAAAAAAUAAAAUUUUAUAUCUUUAUGUUUGAAGCCUGAAAUGUGGCGAAAGGUUGAAAAGUUCAAGGGGGCCGAAUAUUUUCACAAGGCACUGUAUGUACCGACCAGGAAAGUACGGUGUUUCUCUUACCGCAAACCGCAGAACUGAAGGUGUCACGAACGGUGGUUGGAAACCGGUGCAAGAACUCAGGUCUACAGAGGGAGAGAGUUUAGGGAUUUUAUUGUGAGGAAGGGAGUGGUUUGUGGAGGUUGGGUUGUCUGGGGCGCAGGGCUUGGGUCGUGGUGGUGAUGGGGUGAAGAUUUCUUUAUGGCUGGGGUUUGAGGUUGGUCUUCGGCUGUGGUCUUCUCUUGGCUGUGAUUCUUGGUUUGGUCUUGGCUGUAGACUUCACUUAGCUGUGGAGGUUUGGUCUUGGCUGUAGACUUCACUUAGCUGUGGAGGUUUGGUCUUGGCUGUAGACUUCACUUGGCUGUGGUUCUGGGCUUUGGUCUCGGCUGUGGUCCCCUCCUGGUGGUGAAUCUCGGCUGGGUUCUGGCUGUGGAUGGCUGAGGGGUGAUCUAGGAAUCCGUUGUGCUGAGCAGAAUGAACUGUAGUAGAAGACAAAGGUAGAAGAGGUUUACUGUUCAGAGAAUUCAAAUCUGACCUCAGAGUUCUAGGCAAAAAUAGCGAAACUUGACUUGGUCGGCUGGAGAGUCACUAACUUGGUAGUCAUAUAACAAUCCGGCAUCGAAUGAGUGUCUGAACCGGCUUUUUAUUGUCAGAGAUGUGUGAUGAUGAAUCGGAGACAGCUGCUCAGCCAGAGCUGCACCCUUGAUGAGGAGAGUGGCCUCAGCUGAAGCUGAAGCCACUCUGACCUACUUAGGAGAGCGAGAGAGAGAGAGAGAGAGAGAGAGAGAGAGAUGGACCAAAGCACAGCAUAGACAACAGGAACAUGGCACCAAACAAAGCCUGGCAUGGCACAUAAUAAAAUAAGGCAGCAGACAAAAACCUGACCAGGCAGGACGAGAGUCAUGACAGAAGGUCCUGCUGAAGGAGAAGAGGAGGGUUUUUGGAUCUGGGGAAAAAGAGGUGCUGAGCAGGGUGCAGAAGGAGAUAAAGAAGAAGAUCAAGGCAGACAAGGCCAGCUACAGGACCAAGAUGGAAUCUCACCUGGAGAACAAUAACACAAGGGAGGUCUGGAGAGACCUGAGAUCCAUCUCUGGUUACAGCAGAGACCAUGAGAGGGGAGCUGCAGCAGGAGACCGGGAGUGGGCCAACGAGCUGAAUCUGUCCUUUAACAGAUUUGAUUCUACUCCUACUUCUCCCCCUCUCAUCAAAGCACUGACCAGCCAGCUCCUUCUUCACACCUCAGUUCUAUACCACCACCACCACCACCCCUCCUCCUCUCCCCAUCCUCCACCACGUCCAGACUCCACAUACAGCCCCAUCACCCUUCUUCAUCUCAUCCCUCACCACCACCAUCACCCCUCCCCCGUCACCCUCCUCCACCACCCCCGGCCUCUCCAUAGCAGCUGAUCAGGUGAGAAGUGAGCUUUAAAAGAUCAAGACCAGAAAGGUCGAAGGUCCUGAUGGAAUCAGCUCCAGCCUCCUUAGAGACUGUGCAGACCAGCUCUGUCAGGUGCUGCUGCACAUCUUUAACCUGAGUCUGAAGAGGGUUCCAGUGUUAUGGAAGACUUCCUGCCUGGUUCCUGUCUUAAAGACCAGGAAACCCCAGGGAUCCUAACCACUUCAGACCUGUGGCUCUCACUUCGCAUUUGAUGAAGACCAUGGAGAGGAUCGUCCUCAAGAACCUCCAUCCCCAGGUGAGCCAACAUCUGGAUCCACUGCAGUUCGCAUACCAACCGAACAUUGGAGUGGACGAUGCAGUCUUCUAUCUGCUGCACAGAUCGCUGACUCACCUGGAGAACAUCGGCAGCACUGUGAGGGUCAUGUCCUUUGACUUCUCCAGUGCUUUCAACACAAUCCAGCCUUCUCUGCUCAGGGUGGAGCUCGAAGGAGCGGGAGUAGACUGUCACCUGGCUGCUUGGACCAUCGACUACCUCACCAACAGACCACAGUACGUGAGACUUCAGGACUGUGUGUCUGAUGUGGUAGUCAGCAGUACUGGGGCCCCACAGGGGACAGUGCUCUCCCCCUUUCUCUUCACCCUGUACAAAUCCGACUUCCACUACAACUUUGGGAGCUGUCACCUCCAGAAGUUCUCCGAUGAUACAGCCAUUGUCAGGUGUCCAAAGUUGUUUCAAUCAAUCCACUGGACUUUAAGAAAGUUCCUUGAAGAUGUUUCACCUCUCAUCCAAGAGGCUUCUUCAGUUCUGGUGGUGGUUGGUGUUGCCUCAGCUGUUAAACCUCUGUGAAGUGUGGUCAGGGCUAUUAUUGUUCCAACAACCAUUACCAAGACCCGUCUGACUACUCAACGAUGUUCUUUGGGAGUAUCGGUGGGUGUCGUUGAAAUGCACAGAUGUCACUAAGCCCUCGUAUGCUAAUGGUGGUCAUUAGGAUGAGUGAAUCUGCUGAGUAGUUCUUUUGGGGAGUUUUGAAAGGACCUGAUUGUAAAUUGGCGAAAGAUGAUGUCGCAGACACCCCCCCCCCCACAUUCAGAGAUGGCUUCUCUACUCUGACAUGGAUGGCUUCUUUCACUCCUCUCUUAAACCAUUUGUCCUCCCUGUCCAAAAUCUGAAUAUUGGUGUCCUGAAAUGAGUGUCCCUCUUCCUUAAGGUGAAGGAAGACUGCUGAAUCCUGUCCUGAGGAAUUGGCUCUCCUGUGUUGAGCCAUGCACUUGUUAAGUGACUGUUUGGUUUCCCCUAUGUAGAGAUCUGAGCAUUCCUCACUGCAUUUAACUGCAUACACCAGGUUGCUCUUCUGGCUGUGUGGUGUGGGGUCUUUUGGGUGGACCAGUCUUUGCCUGAGGGUGUUAUUUGGCUUAAAAAAGACAGGGAUCUGGUGUUUGUUGAAAAUCCUCCUCAGUUUUUCAGACACUCCAGACACAUACGGGAUCACUAUGUUGUUGCGCCUGCUCUCCUUCUCUUCUGUCUUCACUGGGUUGUUCUCCUUUCUGGAUCUUGUGUGAGCCUUCACAAAGGUCCUGUCAGGAUAUCCACAAGUUUUCAGUGCCCCUUUCAGGUGUUUGUGUUCUUUUUCCUGGCCUUGGGUACUUGUGGGUAACUUGUCAGCCCUGUGUUGCACGGUCCUCAUGACUCCUAGCUUGUGCUCCAGUUGAUGGUGAGAGUCAAAAAGCAGGUACUGGUCCAUGUUUGUUGGUUUCCUGUAUACCCCAACACUCAGACUUCUGUCCUCUUCUAUGCAGACCCCACAAUCCAAAAAGGGCAAAAUAUUGUCCUUUACAUCCUCUCUGGUGAACUUGAUGUUGUUGUCCACAGAGUUGAUGUGUUCGGUGAAAGUUUGCACCUCAUAGAUUCUGAUCUUGACCUAUGUGUCGUCCACGUAUCGGAACAGCUGUUGUGAGAGCCAAAAUAAUCCACCUUUUUUCAAAAUAUGAAAAGUCAUUGUCCUGAAGCUCCAUGGUCAAUCCCAACUUAGACAGUUUUACAGAUGAAACUUUUUGAAACUUUGAAACUUUUGUGCAGGACUUCAAAUAUAAUCUGCUGGAUGUUGUUUAACCAAUCUUUAAAUGCGGGACAUGUCCAGAGAAUAUGGAGUAUAGAGGCACCAUUUCCACCGCAUUUCCAUCAAGAGUCUGCUGGUAUCACGUUGCAUUUGUGAUGUUGUUCUGGUGUCCGAUGCCAUCUGUGUAUUAUUUUUAGUUGAAUUAACCUAUUACCCAUUUCUUUGUACAUUGUGUUGAUAUUCUUUCAACAUGAUUCCCAAUCCUCAGGAGGAUAUGUCCACCUCCAUAUCCCCUGCCCAGUGUUUCUUGACUAAAGGGUCACUUAGUUGUUCCUAUAACAGAUUGUUGAUCUUACAGGUAAUGCCCCUGAGCUUGAUUUAGUCAGCAGCUCUUCAAUUGGGCUACCCAUAGGGCAGGUAAGCUGGCCUCCUAACCAUUUAGCCAGGGCACUUCGUAUGUGGACAGACCUCCAGUACUGAUUAUGUGGCAAUUUAUAUCUAUCCAUUACUUGGUUAAAACUUAAGAACUGUUUGGUAUUGCUGUCGAAUAAAUGUAAAAUAUAGAUUUUCCCUGUCUUUUUACAAAUAGUCCAGUUAACUGUUUUUUCUCCAAUUAGAAUUCGCUUAUUAUUCCAUAGAGGUGCAUGAGGGUAUCUGAAGAAGUCCCAACGGCCUGCUUUAUGUAGUUUAUGCCACAUUAAUUUAAUGUUGGCAAUAAUGGGGUUAUCAUUCUGUAAUGGUAGUUUUGUGCCAAACAACUCAGACCAAGGGGAUAGCCCUCCACUAGCUUCAGCCUCUAUUUGGAACCAACUUGGCCUAUCUUCUACCUUGUCACUAGGUAGCCAUGUCCUUAUGUGCUUCAUAUUAAAAGCCCAGCAGUACCAUCUAAAACUAGGAAGUGAGAAUCCCCCUCUCUUUGUGUGGGCCUGUAGUUUCCCUACCCCAGAGAAAGUCUAAAAUGAGAGUGUCAAGAUUCUUAAAGUGGGACUCUGGGAUAUUCAGAGGAAGUUGAGAUACCAUUUAAUAGAUCACAGGUGCAGUCAUCAUUUUAAUGGAGUUUAUUUUUCCCCCAGAGUGAAAGAUGGAUUUUAGUCCACCUACUAAAGUCUGAUUUCAUUUUCUGAAGCAAUGAGUUGAUUUUUCUCUCAGACUAUAUCUUUAUAAGCUGGAGUUAUUUGAAUGCCCAAAUAUUUGAUGCCUUUCAAAGCCCAGCGAAAUUUCCACUGGUGGAAGAGGGUAUGGGCAGUAACCUGAUAUAGGCAUGGCCUCAGACUUGUCCCAAUUAAUGCGAUAUCCAGAUAAUAGCAUGAACUCCUCAAUACAGUUUAAUAAUGUGGGUAUGGAUUUUUCUGGUUGCGUUAGUAGCACUAACAUGUCAUCUACAUACAGUAAAAAUUUGUGAUGUACACUGCCCACUAUGAUCCCGUGUAUAUCUAAAUGGUUCCUCAAUUUCUGUGCUAAAGGCUCCAAGGCAAGCACGAACAAGCAUGGACUCAAGGGACAGCCCUGUCUCGUGGACCUAUACAGUUGGAAUGGAUUAGAUAUAAGACCAUUUGUUAAAACACGGGCAUAGGGGGUAUCAUAUAAGGUUUUGAUCCAUGUUAUAAAAUUUUGUCCUAAACCAAAUCUUCUGAGUGUUUCAAAAAGAUAACUCCACUCUACACAGUCAAAUGCCUAGCAUCGUCUAGUGACAAAGCAAUUGUUGGAUGGGUGGAGUCAUAUGCUAAAUACUGUAAAUUGAUCAGUCGCCUAAUAUUAUCAGAGCUAUAACGAUUUGGGAUGAAACCUGAUUGAUCGAUGUAAAUUACACUCCCAAUGACUUUUUUCGUAUUAUUUUUAUUAAUGGAUUAGCAAUAACAAAAAGAAAACAAUCAUAUCUCCCACCCCAUACUCAAUCCCACACUCCCCCCUACAAAACAAAACCAAAAAACCCAACAUAGAAACCAAUACGCCCACACACGCACUUCUGACUGAUGAGGAGAGGUUCAGAUUAAAAAAAAAAGGGAAUUCAUAAUUUCAUAAUACCUCUUGACAAGGGCACAACAAUAAGCCUUCCAUGACAAUUGUAGCAUAACCACUGAAGUGAUUAUAUUUGCACUUGUUAAAAUAAAGGGGCACCACUUCAGUUUACCUGAGGAAAAUUAUCAAUUUAAGUAAGAAUCUCAAGGAGACUCGAAUUGAGAUAUAAUUGGUCAGUCUGAUAUCUGGAAGUCUAGAAUUCUCAGUUGAAAUUGACCUCAAUUCUCACACACAGAAAAUGCACAAGACCAUGGAUUGGUCUAAAUGAAAAUAUUUAUUAACUAUCCUACCAAAACAAUAUAGGUGAGCUAUAUGCAAUGAAAAAUGCAAUAUGUGUGUACGUGCGUGUGUGUGUAUGUAUGGGUGUGAGCGUGUGAGUUUGUGUAUGUAGGUGUGUGUGUGUGUGAAUCAGAUUCAAAUCAGCAUAUUAAACCCAGAUAGCAAAAUUCUUCUGGCCCAUAUCUGGCCCACAUUCCGUUUGGAAUGAUGGCACUUGGGCGGUCCACUCUUGUUUGCCACAAGUGGGCCAAAACCAAGCCAUCACAUUGCCGGAUGUAAACCAGAAGCAUACCAAAUGACCCAGCACUCAACCAGACAUGGGCCACUGUACAUCUUCUUUCUGGCCCAUAUCUGGCCCAAACCUGGCACGUUCAUCUGGCCCACAUUCCGUUUGGAAUGAUGGCACUUGGGCGGUCCACUCUUGUUUGCCACAAGUGGGCCAAAACCAAGCCAUCACGUUGCCGGAUGUAAACCAGAAGCAUACCAAAUGACCCAGCACUCAACCAGACAUGGGCCACUGUACAUCUUCUUUCUGGCCCAUAUCUGGCCCAAACCUGGCACGUUCAUCUGGCCCACAUUCCGUCUGGAAUGAUGGCACUUGGGCGGUCCACUCUUGUUUGCCACAAGUGGGCCGAAACCAAGCCAUCACAUUGCCAGAUGUAAACCAGAAGCAUACCAAAUGACCCAGCACUCAACCAGACAUGGGCCACUGUACAUCUUCUUUCUGGCCCAAACUUGACACGUUCAUCUGGCCCACAUUCCAUUUGGUAUGAUGGCACUAGGGCGGUCCACUCUUGUUUGCCACAAGUUGGCCAAAACCAAGCCAUCACAUUGCCAGAUGUAAACCAGAAGCAUACUAAAUGACCCAGCACUCCACCAGACAUGGGCCACUGUACAUCUUCUUUCUGGCCCAUAUCUGGGCCACAUUCCACGUUCAUCCGGCCCACAUUUCGUAUGGAAUGAUGGCACUUGGGCGGUCCACUGUUGAUAGCCAAAGUGGGCCAAAAAGAAGCCAUCACAUUGCCAGAUGUAAACCCAAAAGCAUACCAAAUUACCAAAACCUCGACCUGAUUUGGGCCAUUGUACAUUUGUAUUCUGGCCCACACUAAGAAUUUGGUCCACAUACCACACUGAAUAAUGGCACUUGGGUGUUAACACUUGCCUAGCCAUGAUGCUACAUAUCAACAGCUGGCCAACUCAUCCAAAUUAAAGACAAUUAGCUCUUAGUUUCAGCCAUAACUGGAACACAUUCUAUGACCUUGUCUAACCUGCACACCUCAUGAGUCACAAUUAAACCAUUACAAUGUUUUAUGUCAAAUAUAAACGAAUAGAAUAAAUCCGAACUGGUAUGAAUUUGUGGCUAUAUGCCAUUAAGUUACCCUCAGACAGAGUGUGAAUGCCGGCUUGUCAGUGGUUGCAUCUUGUUGGGACACAUCAGGGGGUCUAAGAUGCUGCAUCAAUGACGAAGAAACCUACUGAAGAACUGAAGAAAUUAUCAAACUCAAGAAACAACUGGUGACAGUAGAGGACAACAAUUUUUAUUUAUUUUUAUUCUAAAAGUAAAACAGUUCAAACAAAGUCAGUGGAGUGAACUGAAAAAAAUAUGAACUAUAAAAGCACAAACAAACAUGAAACAGUAAUAAACAGUAAUAACAUGAAACAAUAGAAGACUGGACCAAUUAAAAGGAAAAAAUGACUCCUCAUCUGGCUCGUCUUCUCUUGGUGUUGGCCCUUUAAAAAGAAAAAAACAAGAAGUUCACACUUUGACACUGUUCAGCAGUACUAUGGCUAUUAAACAUGGUGGCAGUGAAGUACAAAAUAAACAUAUCAGGACACCAAGCAAAAAAGCCCCUGAAGAAUAAUAUAAACAUUCUACAAUACUGUAUUGAUGUUUUUCAAAAAAAAUCCAUAGCUUGUUUUAAAUUACAAUUAAUCUGCAGCUAUAGUAAAUAUUAUGUCUGCUAUAUCAUGUUAUAUCAGAUUGUCUGAUUUACAGGGGUAGAUGGUGAUUAAUUUCUAAUAUUAUGCCAAAGUAAGCACUAUACUCUAUAAGAAUAUGGCCAAGGCUGUCAGUUGGAAGCAAAUCCAUCUCAUGGCAUGAAGAGAGCAAUUCACCCACGACGUCAUAAAAAUAUUCCAUAACUGAGGCAGUUCUGUUCAGUUCUUAUUUUGUCCAGUUCUUAUUUUGUCCACUAUUGUCUUAUAUUGUCUGACUUUCUCUGCCAGUACUUUGAAUGUUUAAUGGUUAAUGUUCAAUAAAGGCAUGAAAUACUGGUAUAACAA